rnacentral:rRNA from 1 species
UACAGAGGUCCCAAGCGUUGUUCGGAUUCAUUGGGCGUAAAGGGUGUGUAGGUGGCGCCGUAAGUCAGGUGUGAAAUUUCGGAGCUUAACUCCGAAACUGCAUUUGAUACUGCGGUGCUUGAGGACUGGAGAGGAGACUGGAAUUUACGGUGUAGCAGUGAAAUGCGUAGAUAUCGUAAGGAAGACCGGUGGCGAAGGCUAGUCUCUGGACAGUUACUGACACUGAGGCACGAAGGCCAGGGGAGCAAACGGG